rnacentral:rRNA from 1 species
GUGGGGAAUAUUGGACAAUGGGCGAAAGCCUGAUCCAGCCAUGCCGCGUGUGUGAAGAAGGUCUUCGGAUUGUAAAGCACUUUAAGUUGGGAGGAAGGGCAGUAAGUUAAUACCUUGCUGUUUUGACGUUACCGACAGAAUAAGCACCGGCUAACUUCGUGCCAGCAGCCGCGGUAAUACGAAGGGUGCAAGCGUUAAUCGGAAUUAAUGGGCGUAAAGCGCGCGUAGGUGGUUUUGUAAGUUGGAGGUGAAAUCCCCGGGCUCAACCUGGGAACUGCCUCCAAAACUGCAUGACUAGAGUACGGUAGAGGGUAGUGGAAUUUCCUGUGUAGCGGUGAAAUGCGUAGAUAUAGGAAGGAACACCAGUGGCGAAGGCGACUACCUGGACUGAUACUGACACUGAGGUGCGAAAGCGUGGGGAGCAAACAGGAUUAGAUACCCCGGUAGUCC